GUAUGAAGUGAUGGUAUAUCAUCUUUCGGGACUGACCUGUUAUGGAGAGAUUUCUAACUUAACUGAUCAUAU